UAGACAAAGAAGAAGACAGUAGUAAGCAUUAAUAUAAUUCUCAAGAAAUACACCAAAAGAAUCUUCUGAUUCAACGGACCAAACAAAUGGAGAUCUCGAGGAUCUUACUUAAAUCUCAAAUAAUACAGUUACAUAUUAUUACAAGAAAAUAACACAAAGCAAGCAAAGCCGGACAUUUCGGGAAGCAAUACAAAAAAAAUUGGCAGAGGCAAUGGAAUUGCUCCAAAUAGGAGGAUGCAAAUGAGUUAAUAGUCAAGGAAGUUGUGGAAAAUUAUGAAAGUGAACGAUUUGAAUAUUAGUAGUAGGUUGGUGGGGGUGGAGGUGAAGCAUAUGUGGCAGAUUGCUCGUAGUUUUUAGGUGGUGGAGGUGAGGCAUAAUUGGAAAUUUGUUUAACGUAGUUUGUUGGAAGUGGAGGUGAGUAGUAUAAUGGCGAUUGUUCAUAGGUCUUUGGUGGAGGUGGCGGUGAUUCAUAAUAAGGUGGAGGUGGCGGUGAUUCAUAAUAAGGUGGAGGUGGAGACUUAUAAUUAAUUGGUGACUGCUCGUAGUAUUUUGAUGGUGUUGGCGGCGGCGGAGAGUAGUAUGAAGAUGACUGCUCAUUGUAUUUUGGUGGAGGCGGUGGAGAUUUGUAAGAAGAUGAUGAUUGCUCGUAGUAUUUUGGUGGAGGUGGAGGUGACUUGUCGUAUGAAGGUGACUUUACGUAAUACGCUGGUGGUGGUGGUGGAGAUUUGUAAUAAACUGGUGACUUGUAAUAUUUUGUUGGUGGCG
rnacentral:lncRNA from 1 species